AAGAACGCAGCUAACUGCGCGUCAUAGUGUGAACUGCAGGACACAUUUGAACAUCGACAUUUCGAACGCACAUUGCGGUCCGUGGAGAAAUAUCCAGGACCACUCCUGUCUGAGGGCCGGCUGUUAAAAUAUAAAUAUCACACUGUUCGCAUUAAUUGUGAAGAAUUGACGGUUCUCCGUUAUUGAUUUUGUUAUAAAUUACACAAUAUCAAUACGGUCCGUUUAAAUAUUAUCAAUAUAUGCGUGUAUAUUUAUUAAAAAAUAAAAACGCGCGCAUAUACGAAAACACAAACCGAUCGUCCAUCUAUUUAUAUAUUGUACGUGUGUAUAUGAUUCAAACGCGCGAUACGACAACAUAAACAACGAUCGGGCGUCCCUCGGACGCGCGACUCUUCGACGUAAAAAAUCGACAGAGGGCAUGCGCGUCUUUAGAACGGUGAUCUUUACCGUAUCGUUGUCGUCGUAUCGUAUAUAUACAUACGUAUCCUAUAAUAUAAUAGAUAGAUAAGAUAGAUCGAAUAAAUGUGUGAAAUAAUUAUGUAGGCGGACUCGACGUCCGAAGAGCGCAUCGAUGUUACGUUGCUCUCUCGUUUGUAAUAACGAGACGAGUCAACGGAGUAUCGUUGAGCUGACGGAUAUCGCGUCUGCCUCGAUUUUUAUCGUGGCCUCAGAUCAGGAGGAUCACCCGCCGAAUUUAAGCAUAUCAAUAAGGGGAGG
rnacentral:rRNA from 1 species